UGCAAAAAUCUGGAAACAUCUCAAAACUUUUUUUUUUUUUCCCAGAAACUGACUGGACAGGGUUAAAGGUCACAUCCACAUGAAAUCUGGUUGUGAUUGAUGAACGUGUGCAGAGUUUAUGAUCAUAAAAAUUAACUUUUUUAUAUAUAUUUGGGAUAGAAAUCCCUUUAAAUCCACAUCACUUUAUAUUGGAGUGAGAUGCUCGUUAUGAAUCCAAACACAGGAACAUUCUUAGAUUUAUUUUAUAUACAGAACGAUGAGAUAAUAUUACAAAAACGUCUGGACGAAGAGCCUCCUGAUGUCCUGAUGUGGUAUAAAAAACUGCCAUCAGAAAGACUUUCAUAUGUGUGAAGAGGCUCUCUGCUCACCAGUGAUCAAGAGUUAUAAAUACAAACAAACAGCAUUUUAUAAACAAACCAGGUUUCUUUUCUUUCUGUAUGUGUGUUUGCUCGUGUCGUGGGUUUUUGGUGUGUCAUGUCUUAAUUGUAGCUAUUCGUAAUGUAUUAUAAAUUAAUUUAAAAUAAAUAAGUAAAUAGAAAAUAAUCACCAUAAUGUUGUGAAGAGUUUAAUGUUUUUUGCAGCACAUCACAUGAAAAAACGUGAAGAAACUUUGCUUCACUGCAACCAACAGUCAACCAAAGUCCAACGUUAUAUCUUUAACUCCUAAUUUAUUCCUAAAAGAUAGAUUAAUCAGAUUCUGGAGAUUAAACGUAGUUUUGCUGCAACCAACAGUUCAUAAUAAAGUCUGUAACUUUUUCAAAAUUUGCAAAAUCAAAUCAACUCUUAAAGAAUAAAUUCAAAUGAUACCAAACCUGAUUCACCAGGUGUUAAGACAAGUUAGAACUUUCCAGAUGUUCAGACUUCACCUGCCAGCUGAUCAAUGAUGCAUCAGGUUUAUCAGAACGUAUACACACACACACACACACACACACACACACACACACACACACACACACACACAGUUCCUCAGUCUGCAGAUGUGAAUGAUAAACUUCUAUUAUUUACAUCCCAGAUUAACAGUUUCACAUCUUUAUGAUCUACAAUCACACGACAACAGGACAAACUUUCUACUGUGAAGACUGUGCAGUGCAGUCGAAAGCUCCAGAACAGCUACUAAAUAGACCUCGUAGUCAGAUUGUUCUGUGAGCUGCUGCCUCCAAACAUUAAAAUCUGACAACGUUUCAGCCACAAAAUGAAUAAAAAGUAUAAAAAUAUAUGAACUGAACAGAAAUACUGUACGUCCACAUACUUUCGGCAAGUUAAACUUCUUAAAUGUGUCUUUUUUUUGUUGACACAUGUUGAGUUUUUGUCCUGCUGUCUUCUCUUCAGUGUUUUCAGACUCAGGCUUUUGUUGAAAGUGACUCAGCUGCCGGAUUUCAGCGGCGGCGGCGGCGGCGGCGUGUAGGCGACGGAACAGAGAGAGUGUGUCGGCGCCGCAGAUGGUCGGCAGGCGGACAAGCUGGAUCCAUUCACAGCAGAGCUGAGAGAGAGAUGAAUGAAGACAAACAGAAGAGAGAGAGAGAGAGAGAGAGAGAGAGAGAGAGAGAGAGAGAGAGAGAGAGAGAGAGAGAGCCGCUCGGAUACAAAGGACAGCUUCUGUCUAUCUGUCAGGGAACCGAUCGGCACCGCAGAACAAAGGGAACACCUGAUGAUCAGAAACACUCCACAUGUGAUAGAAAAAGUGUGUGUGUGUGGGAGAGAUUUGUUCUUUCUGAAGCAGCUGGUUUGUUCAUUCUGGUUUUAAUGGUUUAACAUUUUUCCUCUUCUACCUACACUUCUGGUUUCAUCCUGAAUUUUAAUGUCCUUCCCUCACAAAACACUGAGAAGCAUUAAAACCAGAACAUCCAGGUUCCAGAGAAGCACAAAUCCUGAAGCUGAGCAGCUCUACAGCGCUGCAGCCUCUCAGCAGGUCUAUAAUGUUGCUGCUGAUUUCCCUGCAGGUGCUGGUGGUUUCAUGUUUAUUUUACCUGUUUGUUUUAUGUUUUAUGAGCUUUAUGGGUGAAAGAUUUUACUAUUUUUGUCCUUUUCUGUUGUGAGCUCACUAAGACAAAACUACCACACAGAGCUCUGAAGCUGCUCUGAAGGCUCAAGGUGGAGCAACUAAUCAUCAUCAUCAUCAUCAUCAUCAUCAUCAUCAUCCUCAGAGUCAAAACCAACUUGAAAACUAAGAGCUCACUUUUAUUUUCAAAGCUUUUACAAACAAAACUCAGCAGAAAAACAACAAAACACAACAAAAGCAGAUUUUAAGUUUCUUCUGAUAUAAAAAUAUAUAACUUUUUUAUUUAAGGGGAGGGAGGAGCAACACUGAGGAGCAUCCAAUCAGCUUCAACGGUGCGAGUGAUGUCAUCUGAUCAGACAGGAAGUAUAGAUAUUUACCUUCUUAUCAUUUCUGAACAUCUGAGGAAAAAAACGUCACUGAUGGAAGCAGCAGGAAGUCGUUUUCCUCCUUCGUCAGAGUCCAGACAGAAACUAUCUGCUGCCACACGUGAUAGUCUGUCCCGUCCGUUCUGACUCCAGGUGAUAGUCUGUCCCGUCCACUCUGACUCCAGGUGAUAGUCUGUACCCCACAGAAGGAAAGCUCUGGGAGUUUUUUUUUUUUACUUCCUUCGUCUACAUUCUGUCACAGUCUUUUCUCUGCCGUCAGAGGUCAGAGACGUAGAGGUCAGGGGUCAAAGG